rnacentral:rRNA from 1 species
UACGAAGGGGGCUAGCGUUGCUCGGAAUCACUGGGCGUAAAGCGCACGUAGGCGGCCUUUUAAGUCAGGGGUGAAAUCCUGGAGCUCAACUCCAGAACUGCCUUUGAUACUGAGAAGCUUGAGUCCGGGAGAGGUGAGUGGAACUGCGAGUGUAGAGGUGAAAUUCGUAGAUAUUCGCAAGAACACCAGUGGCGAAGGCGGCUCACUGGCCCGGGUACUGACGCUGAGGUGCGAAAGCGUGGGGAGCAAACAGG